UUUCAUCUAAUGGUGCUACUUUGCUGCAGCUAACGUUGUACUGAGUGAAAAGACAUUUUUAUUACACUUUCAGCCUGGACACAGUGUACAUUUUCAUGUUUAUUUUUUUUUCCCAUUACGUACAGCUGCUGUAGGCACAUGCAAACAGCUCAACAUCCUGAGGCAGCCUGCAGAGCUGCAGUAUGAGCACAGCCCUGCUUUGGGCUCACACACAGAGCUGAAAGGCUCUAUCAGCACCAACAGGUAGCAGUUUGGAAAAGACACACCAGCUUGCACAGGGCCUUGCUUUGUUAGAGUAACUAGAGAUUAGCUUAGGCAAGGAGGGCAGGUCAAUGCCGUCUUGUUCUUCCCAGCAAAAAAUUCUUGUUUCACUUACUAACAGUUUAAAAUAGUGAGAACAAUCUCUGAUGGGCUUGUUCUGUUCAGUGUGGGGUGUGCUUGGUGCUUAAAUGCUCUUAAGGAACAAGGAUCUUCCAAAUGGAGCUUACUAGACGUUUCCUCUGGCUCUUUUCUGUCUGGAUUUUUGGUGCCUGAUAUGACUAAAUUUUGCUAAUUCCUUGGUGGACUUCCAAGUUUGUGCACAUCAUUUUGUCUACUCUGAUGUACAUUUGCACAGAAACUGCUGAAACAACUUUGGUUUUGAGAUUUGUAUUCCUUAAGCAAUCUCAUGAAACCACCUAGCAAAAUGGAAUUUGUCUUGGGUACAAAGAGAAGAGUGGAGAUAUGAAUGUAAUCAAAACUCUGUUAAGAAAACUGUUUACCUGGGAAAACAGUAUACACUUAGAGCUUGCUUAAUAUCCCUUCCUCUGUCAAGCCAUAGUUUUGAUUUAAGUCUACAGUAAACUGCCAUGACCUUGUUAAACCUGAUUUAAACAGGCAGGUCAUUUUUAUUACUUUCUAAGUCAAAAUUAUUUAGUUCUAGGUCAAGGCGUAGAACCAACUCAAACCAAGGUGAACAAGCCAUCACUAGGUACUGACUGGCAGAAUUAGCUGGAACUGCUUAAGAAGGUUCUGUCCACAGUUGGAUCCAUCCAACAUCCAGUUGGAUGCCUCCAUGUGAUGAUGUUUAAAACCUCAAAGCUGACUCCAUUCUACUGAAAAAUGAAGUGUCUUCAUUUAGGUCAACUACCAUCAACGUCAGUUCAGUCAGGCUGAUUUUGGACUGAAGUGGGUUACAGCAGGCUCUUAUGCCAGGUGCUGUAGGCAUGUGGAGCUUCAAAACAGUGUAAUGAAAGGAACAUCUUAGAACUGCAACUUCAACAACUCAAUCUGCUUUUGAACCUCCAGUGCACCAAAGAUGGAAUGGCAAAGGCAGGGGCAGAUAUUACAGCAAAGUACCUCUGAAAAACAUGCCUACCAUUCAUCAGUUUUGGCUCACUGGUUAUGACGUGCCCUUGAAGAAGGAAGAGAACACAUUGUAACCUUGGUAUCUAUGGAACAUUUCUGUACAGCUACCUUUAGAAGAGCUUUGCCUCCAGAAUGACUUUUCUCCCCUACCCAACCUAUUAGAAGCUCAUAUUGCAGAGAAAUUGAAAACAAAGAACCAAAGUGGUGAAGAAUCAAUCAGUGUAAUUCUGAAUAGGUU
ensembl:lncRNA